rnacentral:lncRNA from 1 species
AAGAAAUUGUCACUGUCAAAAGAAAAAUGCACCAAUAAAGAAUAUCCAACCCAAAAGAUGUAUUAAAGAGUCCUAAAGGUACCAGGCAGAGCAGUGGAACAGUGAAGGCGUCCCUGCCAGAUCCUCCUGCAGGACUGACAACCAGACCCCAUCCUCCUGAUGGCCAAGAGCUGACCCAUCUCCUCUUUAAUUCACAAGCUGUCUCCUGACUGCAAAUUGUCAAAAACAGCUCCAACAUGGCAGUGUCUGGAGUUGGAAUGCUUACACCCAAAUGAGCUUUCAGGUAACAGGUUUU